GCUGGCUUUAUGAGGAGGGCCUAUGGUCUUUGCUGUUGCCAUGGACAUUCCCUAGCAAGGCAGCAGAGAUCUGAUUCAGCAGGAAUGACUCUUGCUCUUGUUAUCCACAGAAAAUCCUUUGAGUUUGAGGAUGCAUCCAGUCUCCAGUCCCUGUACCCCUCUUCUCCCACUGAGAAUGGUACUGAGAACCAACCCAAGUUUGGAUCCAAAAGCACUUUAGAAGAAAAUGCCUAUGAAGAUAUUGUGGGAGAUCUGCCCAAGGAGAAUCCAUAUGAGGAUGUGGAAUUAAAGAGCCGAAGAGCAGGACG
rnacentral:sRNA from 1 species